ACGUCAAGUCCUCAUGGCCUUUAUGUCCUAGGGCUACACACGUACUACAAUGGCCGGUACAAAGGGCAGCCACUCAGCGAUGAGGCGCUAAUCCCAUAAAGCCGGUCUCAGUCCGGAUCGCAGUCUGCAACUCGACUGCGUGAAGUUGGAAUCGCUAGUAAUCGUAGAUCAGCAUGCUACGGUGAAUACGUUCCCGGGCCUU
rnacentral:rRNA from 1 species